rnacentral:rRNA from 1 species
GCUGGCGGCAUGCUUUACACAUGCAAGUCGAACGGCAGCGGGGUAGUGCUUGCACUACUGCCGGCGAGUGGCGAACGGGUGAGUAAUAUAUCGGAACGUACCGAGUAAUGGGGGAUAACCAAUCGAAAGAUUGGCUAAUACCGCAUACGUCCUAAGGGAGAAAGCGGGGGAUCGCAAGACCUCGCGUUAUUCGAGCGGCCGAUAACUGAUUAGCUAGUUGGUGGGGUAAAGGCCUACCAAGGCGACGAUCAGUAGCGGGUCUGAGAGGACGAUCCGCCACACUGGGACUGAGACACGGCCCAGACUCCUACGGGAGGCAGCAGUGGGGAAUUUUGGACAAUGGGGGCAACCCUGAUCCAGCCAUGCCGCGUGUAUGAAGAAGGCCUUCGGGUUGUAAAGUACUUUUGUUAGGGAAGAAAAGGGAAGUGCUAAUACCACUUUUUGCUGACGGUACCUAAAGAAUAAGCACCGGCUAACUACGUGCCAGCAGCCGCGGUAAUACGUAGGGUGCGAGCGUUAAUCGGAAUUACUGGGCGUAAAGCGAGCGCAGACGG